UUGGCCUCAAAUCAGGUAGGACUACCCACUGAACUUAAGCAUAUCAAUAAGUGGAGGAAAAGAAACUAACAAGGAUUCCCCUAGUAACGGCGAGUGAAGCGGGAAGAGCUCAAAUUUAAAAUCUGGCAGGCUACGCUUGUCCGAAUUGUAAUCUCGAGAAGUGUUUUCCGCGUUGGCCUGUGUACAAGUCCCUUGGAACAGGGCGUCAUAGAGGGUGAGAAUCCCGUCCUUGACACAGACACCCAAUGCUUUGUGAUACACUCUCAAUGAGUCGAGUUGUUUGGGAAUGCAGCUCAAAAUGGGUGGUAAAUUCCAUCUAAAGCUAAAUACUGGCGAGAGACCGAUAGCGAACAAGUACCGUGAGGGAAAGAUGAAAAGCACUUUGGAAAGAGAGUCAAACAGUACGUGAAAUUGUUGAAAGGGAAACGAUUGAAGUCAGUCGUGCCUGCCUAGUCUCAGCCUUUUGGUGUACUACUAGGUCGGCAGGUCAGCAUCAGUUUGGGAGGAUUAACAAGGGAGCUAGGAAUGUGGCAACCUCGGUUGUGUUAUAGCCUAGUUUCGCAUUGAUCUUGCUGGACUGAGGAACGCAGUGCGCCCGCAAGGGUUGGU
rnacentral:rRNA from 1 species